GAGAGAGAGAGAGAGAGAGACUUGAUAAUACAGGGGAAAGGUCCUUUGCCUACUUCUCAGAAAAGAAGAAAAAGGAAGAUCUUAUGCAAUUCUAUAAAUUCUACUAGCAGGGUUUUUUUAACUUCCUUUUCUCCCACUUUCUCCCCAUUGGCUUAUAUAUAUAUAUAUAUUGUGCUGAAUGCUUCUGCCAGUAUUGUGUAACAUAUUAAGAUGGCAGAAAGAGUUUAAAGAGUGAUAGUUUAGUAGCUUCAAGCUGUUAACUCAUGUUGUCUUUGCUUUUCCCUUAGCUAUGACUACCCAUUGGUGGUCUAAAGCCACUUUGCAUUUUCAUUAAUCUUUCAUCUACCUGAUACUAGAAGGCGUGUGUGAAGUUUGAGGGCUUACCAAAUGUUUUCCUAGUUAAUAUGCUGGAUUGCUGGUUUCUAAGCAACUAAUUUGCCAUUUAUGAUUUACCAGAUAUAUAAAUAUAAAUUUAUCUGAAUACAAUUUUGAAUAUUAUAUGCAAAUUACAAAAAAUAGUAGUGUGGUUAGGAAUCAUUCAUCAC
rnacentral:misc_RNA from 1 species